CAGCACCUCAAGUGGUCAGGAUGAUCAUUGGGCCUAAAGCAUCCGUAGCCGGCUGUGUAAGUUUUCGGUUAAAUCUGUACGCUUAACGUACAGGCUGCCGGGAAUACUGCAAAGCUAGGGAGUGGGAGAGGUAGACGGUACUCGGUAGGAAGGGGUAAAAUCCUUUGAUCUAUUGAUGACCACCUGUGGCGAAGGCGGUCUACCAGAACACGUCCGACGGUGAGGGAUGAAAGCUGGGGGAGCAAACCGGAUUAGAUACCCGAGUAGUCC
rnacentral:rRNA from 1 species